rnacentral:rRNA from 1 species
GAUGAACGCUGGCGGCGUGCCUAAUACAUGCAAGUCGAGCGAACAGACGAGGAGCUUGCUCCUCUGACGUUAGCGGCGGACGGGUGAGUAACACGUGGAUAACCUACCUAUAAGACUGGGAUAACUUCGGGAGACCGGAGCUAAUACCGGAUAAUAUAUUGAACCGCAUGGUUCAAUAGUGAAAGACGGUUUUGCUGUCACUUAUAGAUGGAUCCGCGCCGCAUUAGCUAGUUGGUAAGGUAACGGCUUACCAAGGCAACGAUGCGUAGCCGACCUGAGAGGGUGAUCGGCCACACUGGAACUGAGACACGGUCCAGACUCCUACGGGAGGCAGCAGUAGGGAAUCGUCCGCAAUGGGCGAAAGCCUGACGGAGCAACGCCGCGUGAGUGAUGAAGGUCUUCGGAUCGUAAAACUCUGUUAUUAGGGAAGAACAAAUGUGUAAGUAACUAUGCACGUCUUGACGGUACCUAAUCAGAAAGCCACGGCUAACUACGUG